rnacentral:rRNA from 1 species
ACUUGGCUCUGAUCUAUUCAUAUAGCAAAGACUAAAAAAUACACAUGGUUUUUAUAGAAAGUGGCGAGGUAAAAAAGACUAUAAUAUAAAUAUAUAAUUUGUAAUUAUAUUUUUUUUUAAAGUAUUAUUAAUAUAAAAAAUGCUUUGAAAAGUCCCGCUAACACCAGUGCUGAAGAUUAAACAUAAAAGCGAAAGCUUGAAUUAAUUUAGUACAAAAAAAUCUGGCUAACUUGGUGCCAGCAUCCGCGGUUAUACCAAGAGAUUAAGCUAUAUCUUACGGUAAAAAGACAGUUAGGCUUAAUAUGAUUUUUAGUUUAUUGAUCUUUUAUAUAGAAGUAAAAUUUGUAUAUAUAUUGUUAGCUUUAUUUUAACUAAUUUGCUGAAGCUGUGAUAAUCUUGAGGGAAACUGGGAUUAGAUACCCCAUUAUUCUUGAUUAUAAACUUAAUAUAUUUUACCAGAAUAUUAUGAAUAUAAAAAAUUUAAAAUUCAAAGGGCUUGGCGGUGUUUUAGACCUAUUAGGGGAACCUGUCUCAUAAUCGACAAUCCACGCUAGACCUAACCCUAUUUUGUACUCAGUUUGUAUAUCGUCGUCGUCAGGUAACUUUAAAAAAAUUAGAAGUUAGCAUUAUAAAUUUUAUAAAUUAAAACGUCAGAUCAAGAUGCAACUUAUAAAAGGGAGAAGAUGGGUUACAAUUAUUUAAAUUAUAAAUACGGAAAAUUUAGAUGAAAAUAUAAAUUGAAGGAGGACUUAAAAGUAAAAUAAAAUAUAUAAAUAGUUUGAAUAAGGCUCUGAAACGUGCACACAUCGCCCGUCGCUCUCGUUGAAAAAUGAGAUAAGUCGUAACAUAGUAGGGGUAAUGGAAAUUGUCCCUAAUAU